CUUGUUGACCUUCGAGCAUAUUGAAGUUUUAACACUUAAGUUUAACAAAUUUCACAUUUUUUAUAGGUUUUUCCACAGUGUUUGAGUUAUCGACCUCUUUUGUCGGUCAUGUCUUUCUCAAGAGCUCCAUUAAAGAGAUUUAACGAGCAUGUCGGUUGUGCUCCUCCACCUGGUACAUAUGAGGUGAAGUCUGGUGAUGUGAAAGGAACUGCAUCAUUUCAUAAAGCAGAGCGCUUCAGAUCAGCUCCAAAAACAGCGGUACCCCUGCCAUCCCCCUCAAAAGAAGUGCCCAUGUCUCCUGUUCGGAGGACCAUGUCUGUUGAUGGUUUGG